GAAAAGUGUAAACUGCUAAAAUGAUCAGUAUGACAAGAUCAAUCUAGCAUUGAAAUUUGACAAACAUUUUAGAGUUAUUGCCCCUAAAAUGUUGCUUUUUAUUGUUUUUAGUAAUUUUGGUUGUUAUCCAGAAAAAGUUGAUUAUGUAAGUUGCAAAAAUGAUCAGCAACACAUGCAGUCCAAAAGUAUGUGUAUCUAAAAGUCCUCAUUGACAUCCUGGCCAAUUUUCAUCUUAGGCAAAGGUGUGCCUUUUUUAAUUUUUUUUACAGAAAAUGAUUUCACACAGAUAACAUUACCCUGAUCAUGAGGAUGAUAUGCUAUGUGAUAUUUGAUUAUAAUAUAUAU
rnacentral:lncRNA from 1 species